UACGGCCUGCGCUGGGCCGCGGCGCCGGAGCGGCUCGAUGGGCCGCGACAGCGCCGGUUCGAGACCGGCCGUCGUGA
rnacentral:tRNA from 2 species